GAGGGAAUCCUCCUGAAUCGAUAGUUACGGCGCCGACGCACAACGCACGGCACGCUCGCUGCGCGUAGCCGCCGGGAAGUUCGACCAGGGCAUCCGCACAACGCAUCAGAAAAAGCGCCGAUGGGAAAAUAGUCCUGGCGGCAAUUGCUGUUCUGAUGCACUGGUCUGUGGAGUCUUAGCACUUCAACUUCCUGGCUGUCAAUAGAAUAAGUUUUGCUCGGCUCCGGCGAGGAUGGGGGAUGACAGCAGCGUGCCUUCGGCUCGCUCCAAUACUUGUAGUCUUCAUUAGGUGGUCCAUGAAUCCGGAUGUAAAUUUUGGUCAUUUCUGAUGUUCUUUAUACUGUCAUGACAGACGAUGGAUAGAUCAAAAAGUUUUCUGAAAAGAAACAGCUUCGUAUUUCCUUGUA